AGCGGGAAGUAGUUUACUACUUUGCCGGCGAGCGGCGGACGGGUGAGUAAUGUCUGGGAAACUGCCUGAUGGAGGGGGAUAACUACUGGAAACGGUAGCUAAUACCGCAUAACGUCUUCGGACCAAAGUGGGGGACCUUCGGGCCUCACGCCAUCGGAUGUGCCCAGAUGGGAUUAGCUAGUAGGUGGGGUAAUGGCUCACCUAGGCGACAAUCCCUAGCUGGUCUGAGAGGAUGACCAGCCACACUGGAACUGAGACACGGUCCAAACUCCUACGGGAGGCAGCAGUGGGGAAUAUUGCACAAUGGGCGCAAGCCUGAUGCAGCCAUGCCGCGUGUGUGAAGAAGGCCUUCGGGUUGUAAAGCACUUUCAGCGAGGAGGAAGGCCAAUAACUUAAUACGUUGUUGGAUUGACGUUACUCGCAAAAAAAGCACCGGCUAACUCCGUGCCAGCAGCCGCGGUAAUACGGAGGGUGCAAGCGUUAAUCGGAAUUACUGGGCGUAAAGCGCACGCAGGCGGUUUGUUAAGUCAGAUGUGAAAUCCCCGCGCUUAACGUGGGAACUGCAUUUGAAACUGGCAAGCUAGAGUCUUGUAGAGGGGGGUAGAAUUCCAGGUGUAGCGGUGAAAUGCGUAGAGAUCUGGAGGAAUACCGGUGGCGAAGGCGGCCCCCUGGACAAAGACUGACGCUCAGGUGCGAAAGCGUGGGGAGCAAACA
rnacentral:rRNA from 1 species